rnacentral:rRNA from 1 species
UACGUAGGGUGCGAGCGUUGUCCGGAAUUAUUGGGCGUAAAGGGCUCGUAGGCGGUCUGUUGCGUCAGGAGUGAAAACUCGGGGCUUAACCCCGAGCCUGCUUCUGAUACGGGCAGACUGGAGUACUGCAGGGGAGACUGGAAUUCCUGGUGUAGCGGUGGAAUGCGCAGAUAUCAGGAGGAACACCGGUGGCGAAGGCGGGUCUCUGGGCAGUAACUGACGCUGAGGAGCGAAAGCGUGGGGAGCGAACAGG